GACGAACGCUGGCGGCGUGCCUAAUACAUGCAAGUUGAGCGCUGAAGGUUGGUACUUGUACCAACUGGAUGAGCAGCGAACGGGUGAGUAACGCGUGGGGAAUCUGCCUUUGAGCGGGGGACAACAUUUGGAAACGAAUGCUAAUACCGCAUAAAAACUUUAAACACAAGUUUUAAGUUUGAAAGAUGCAAUUGCAUCACUCAAAGAUGAUCCCGCGUUGUAUUAGCUAGUUGGUGAGGUAAAGGCUCACCAAGGCGAUGAUACAUAGCCGACCUGAGAGGGUGAUCGGCCACAAUGGGACUGAGACACGGCCCAAACUCCUACGGGAGGGAGCAGUAGGGAAUCUUCGGCAAUGGACGAAAGUCUGACCGAGCAACGCCGCGUGAGUGAAGAAGGGUGUCGGAUCGUAAAACUCUGUUGGUAGAGAAGAACGAUGGUGAGAGUGGAAAGCUCAUCAAGUGACGGUAACUACCCAGAAAGGGACGGCUAACUACGUG
rnacentral:rRNA from 1 species